UGGUGAGUAUUAGAGAGGGCACGGAUUGCAGGGAGCACUGGGUGUGGUGCAAAAAUAAUGAAUACUGUUACACUGAAAAAAUAAAUUAAUUAAAAAAAAAAAAGAAAGUCGGGGGGAUGAGAUGGAGAUCCCCAGGGUCAGCGGUGACAUGGUGAUGAUACACUCCAGUGGCGGAGGGCAAGUUGAGAAAGGAAAGGAGGCCAAGAGACAGGCUGGGGUGGGCAUUGGAAAGGUUUACUUGGAUAUGGAAAUGACCAAGAAUUAGCACAGGGACAUAGGGGAAUGUCAGUGAGGCAGGAACCAAAUCUUCAAAGAAUGGUGUAGUCUGUCACUAGCCAUCAGGGAGAUUCAAAUUGAAGAUUUUAUUUAUUUAUUUUGACAGAGAGAGAUCACAAGUAGAGGAGAGGCAGGCAGGGAGAGAGAGAGAGAGAGAGAAGCAGGCUCCCUGCUGAGCAGAGAGGCCGAUGAGGGACUCAAUUCCAGGACCCUGAGAUCAUGACCUGAGCUGAAGGCAGUGGCUUAACCCACUGAGCCACCCAGGUGCCCUGGGGAGAUUCAAAUUAAAAACACAUUGAGAUACCACCUUACACCUGUUAGAAUGGCCAAAAUUAGCAAGACAGGAAACAACAUGUGUUGGAGGGGAUGUGGAGAAAGGGGAACCCUCUUACACUGUUGGUGGGAAUGCAAGUUGGUGCAGCCUCUUUGGAGAACAGUGUGGAGAUUCCUCAAGAAAUUAAAAAUAGAGCUUCCCUAGGACCCUGCAAUUGCACUACUGGGUAUUUACCCCAAAGAUACUGAUGUAGUGAAAAGAAGGGCCAUCUGUACCCCAAUGUUUAUAGGAGCAAUGGCCACGGUCACCAAACUGUGGAAAGAACCAAGAUGCCCUUCAACAGACAAAUGGGUAAGGAAGAUGUGGUCCAUAUACACUAUGGAGUAUUACGCCUCCAUCAGAAAGGAUGAAUAGCCAACUUCUGUAGCAACAUGGACGGGAUUGGAAGAGAUUAUGCUGAGUGAAAUAAGUCAAGCAGAGAGAGUCAAUUAUCAUCUGGUUUCACUUGUGGAGCAUAACAAAUAGCAUGGAGGACAAGGGGAGAUGGAGAGGAGAAGGGAGUUGAGGGAAAUUGAUAAGGGGAGGUGAACCAUGAGAGACUGUGGACUCUGAAAAACAAUCUGAGGGUUUUGAAGGGGCGGGGGGUGGCAGGUUGGGGGAACCAGGUGGUGGAUAUUGGAGAGGGCACGGAAUGCAUGGAGCACUGGGUGUGGUGCAAAAACAAUGAAUACUGUUACGCUGAAAAUAAAUAAAAAAUAAAAUAAAAUGGUGUAGUCUGGUGAUAUGAGAUUCAAAACUGAGGUCCUUCUAGGGAGGGACAGAUAAUUGUCUGGGAGCAUCUACUUGUCCUCUAAUAUGUCUUCUUCCUUAACAAUAAGCCUCUGAUUUGUAGCUAAGCAUAAGGAUACCCAGAAAAACACAUUUCCCAGCUUUCUUUACAAUCAUGUGGCCAUGGGGCCAAAUUCUGGCCGUUAGGAUGUAAGUGGCAAUGUGCAUGCCACUGCCUCAAAGUGUUCUUAUGGGGGGUGUGUACUGUUCUUGGUUAUUUUUUCCUUCCCUUGGGUUGGCAAGAGGGCCUAAUGGCUGGAGCUCUCGCAGCUAUUUUGAACCAUGAGGUAACUUUGAGAAAGUGAGCUGUGACUGUGGAGCCACCAGCUAGAAGCCUUGAUUUGAGAGAGAGAGGACAAGAAAAGAAACUCAUCUUGUUUAAGUCACUGUGACAUGGAGAUUUUAUUUUUUUAAGAUUUUAUUUAUUUAUUUGUGAGAGAGAGCACAAGCAGGGGAAGGGACAUGAGGGAGGAUGGCAGGGGCAGAGGGACAGUAGAUUCCGUGUUAAAUCACAGAUGCCAGACACCAGGGCUCAAUCCUAGGACCCUGAGAUUAGGACCUGAGCUGAAGUCAGAUGCUUAACCAAGUGAGCCACUCAGGUGCCCCAACAUGGAGAUUGUCUAUUACUUGUAAUUAAACUUAACGCUAAUGGUUCCAAGUGGAAAGUUAUGUUUGGGUUGUACUAAAAAUGACAUUUAGUGCUAGCGGGUAUUGGUGGAUGCUAGGAUGCUUUUGAAAGUUGUUGAAUAGGAUACAGGCUGACAGGAACUGGAUGUCCAGAGAGGCUGUGGAGAGUAAGUUAGAACACACGACGGAGACAGCAGAAGUGAGGAUGCGUAGUUAAGUCUUGGCUCAAUGACAGCAUCUGAAGGACUGGGUCUGGACAUCAAGUUUUAGGAAGGUUGUGAGGUUGGCGUUAGUUUAACUAGCAGUUUUGGGAUUUGAUCAUGGUGAGAGUCAGGCUGGAGUGAGGCUUGGGGCUGCAAUUUAGACCAGGGUUGGAUUUCAGGUCAGAAAUGGGAAGAGUGCCAGGGUUGGCCUUGGGGUCACUGGACGUGUCUGGUACACUGAGAAAUGGGCACUUAGGGGUUCUGGGAUAUGGCUGGUGCUAAGGUUAGCAUCUGAUGCAGUGGUUCCCAAGCGGAGAUCAACUGGGAGAGUUGGAUAUCCUUAGAGCUUGGGGCUAGGCUGUUUGGGUAACUUUGGGGGCCAUGGUGUCCAACCAUGAAUUGGAAUCAUUCAGUGUUUUUUUAAAGUGCAUUUACUAAUUUAUUCAUUUUUUUGUAAUCUCUAUAUCCAAUAUGGGGCUCAAACUCAUGAUCCUGAGAUCAAGAGUUGCAUGCUCUUCCAACUGAACCAGCCAGGCACCCCACUCAGGAGUUUUGUUUUAAAACACUGAUGAUUGGCGUUAUCUCCCAGAAAUUCUGAGUUAAUUAUUGUGCAGUGGGGCUUGGACAGAUGGCAUUUUAAAAGUUCCUUGGACAAUCAGAGCCAUCUGUGGGGCCUGAAUUCCUCAGUCUUUAAAUUAAUCCUCUUGGCUAAGUAGUGGUUUUCAAAGUGGGGUCCCUGGCCCAGCAGCAUCAGCAUCACUUGGGAACAUACUGGAAAUGCUCGUUCUCAGACCUUACCACUGACUCUCAGCAGCUGGGGCGCAGGGGGAUGGGGGUGGGCAGCGAUCAGCAUUCUAGCACCCCUCUGGGGGAUUCUCAUGCCCACUCAAAUUGGAGAAUCACUGAAAAACAGCACCGUCUCUGGGAGGCCUUCAAGAAAAGACUGAACUCUUGGGCAGUUCUCCGCGCUUCUCUGGGUUGUGGACUCAUCUCUCCAGCUGUGGAUGGCAAGCUCCAUGAGCACAGGCAGGGGGAGCAUCAAGCAGAGGGAAAAGCAGACUCCCUGUGGAGCAGGGAACCUGAUGACACCGGGCUCAAUCCCAGGACCAGGAUUGGGAUGUGAGCCAAAGGCAGAUGCUUCACCCACUGAGCCACCCAGGAGCUCCCCCACCUAGGAGAGUUCAUUCAGGACACAGCAAGCAGGCAGCCAUCUGGAACCCAAAGAGAGCACGCUCACAAGACACCAACCCUGCUGGCACCUUGAUCUUAGACUUCCAGUCUCCAGAAAUAUCACCAAAAGACUUUAGAAAAACCCAAAGCAUUCAAGAAGCAUACAUCUCCUAGAAUGGAAGUUCUGGUGGUGGUUGGUCUGUCUGGUCCAAUGGAUUCCCAGCGUUCAGUACAAUGCCCAGCAUAUUUUAGAAAUGUUCACUGGAAUAUAUUCUGUUCCCGUAUGUUUCAAGGCCAAACUACUCUUGAAUAUAUGGAAUGGUACUGCAAGAUAACUUAGUAAACACCCACUUUUCAGGGCUGAAGGAUGCCCAAACCCAGUGGCUGCUAAUACCUCCCUUUCUCUGGGGCAAAACGACUAGAAGGGGGUAGACUCCUAUCCUGCUGCUUAUACCAUUUUCUUUACCCCCUGCCUGAAUUUUUCAGGAAGAAAGUGCUUAACUCACCUCCACUAUUACAAAAGAAAAUAAAAGCUGGAGCCAGAGAGAGGCACAGAGACACAAAGAGAGUUGGUAGGAAUGUGGUAGUUUUAAUAGCAGGGCAAAGGGUAUCUUCAGCAAAGAAAUCAAAGAGGACAUAAUUACCAGUGGCCAAUUUUAGGCAGUCAUGACUAGUUUUGUACUUCGAGCUCUUAGACCUAUGUAGCUCCUAUUUGCUUUCUACCAUCUGGUAAAUAACAGAACAUUCCUUAACUGCUAGGAACUAGGUAGACAGGUGAGUCUUUGCUGAUCAUGUUUACCGACAGCAUGUGGCAUUUGGAACCUUGUGCUCAACAGGUACAAACUCAACAGACGGUAUGACACUUGCCUUAGGCCAGUGACUCUCGACACGGGUGAUUUUAAUCCACCCCCCCAACAGGGACAUUUGGUAAUAUCUAGACAUUUGGGGUUUGCUAGAACUACCGGGGGGCUACCAGCAUGUAGUGGGUAGAACAUCCUACAACAUGCAGAACAGCCCCCACAACCAAGAAAGAUCUGGCCCAAAAUGUCCACAGUGCUGAGGAUAAGACAAGCUGCUUAGAGGAACUCAUGAAUCAAAGUCCCAUGGCUAGGGGUGGAGGAGCUGGGGGGUUUCACAUGAAGGACUCUGAGAUCACUUAUGUAGAGUAUACCAUCCUGGGGAGGUGUAAGCCCACGCCAAACUCUUUUGAGAGCAUCUAGUCUGACUUCCAGGUUAUACAGAAAGCUGUCUGACUUAUGCUAGAUGGGCCUGGGCACCGAAGGACCCGGGGCUCACAAAUUCAUCUGACUGAGAGAACACCACAAAUGGAAAUCUAGGACUUAACCCAAAGAUACAAAGCUACAGUAACAGAAAGAAUCUGGUAGUAAUGUUCUUGAAUUAACAGUUGCCUGCAGACAGCAGAGACACAAAAUGUGACUAUUAAUGACUAUUAAAGCUUUUAUGUGCAUACAAGAAGUAUUUGUACCACAACUGCUUACUGACUGGUUCAUUUUUACAGAUGAAGAAACUGAGGCUCAGAGAGUAGCGCUUCUGGAGAGUCACACGAAGUGGCAGCAGCAGAGCCAGGAUUUAAAUUCAGGCUCUCUGUGUCCCUGGAAAACUGUUUAUUUUUUAACCUGCACUGCCUCAUAACUAAGCACUAUGUCUCUUGGCAGCCCGUGUUUUAGUCUGGGGUUGGUGCAGGACAGAAACAUAAGGAAAGGGAGGGAAAAAAAUUUUAACUAGCCAUACAUACCUUACCUGAAAUGAAUACAAUAUAAAAGUAUUGAACAAUAUUAAACACAAUAUAAAAGAUGCUGUUUGCUGAGAAGGAAAAAAAAUGGUUUUGUGGAUGUGUUUUAGGAAUUGAUUGUGAAAACAUCCCACCAAAUAGUCUGUAAGAGUUGCAGAGGUGUGUCCUGAACAUCAUCUAGAGAACGAAAUGCAGAUGACGCAAGAGAACUAUAGAGCAUGAGUCUGUGGCAGCCACACUCACGGCGACACUGGGAUGCAGUUUUCUGUGGUGUGUGGGGAUCUGAGCAACACAAGCAAGCCCGCAGCGGGCACUCACAGCUGCCUGUCAUGGGGACGGCCUGCCUGUCUGGAUAGCAUUCCGCCGGGUACGUCCGGCCGGCCACACACUGCUUUUAUGACUGAAAAGAUUGGAAAAAUCCACUGUAUGCUAAAACGGGGUUUCCUUUUUCAAGUGGUCUGAGGGGCAAAGUGGAGUAGAAAAAUCGUCACCACAGUAGCAAUCACAGCAAAUACACCGAGAGUUUCUAGGUGUCAGGCACGCUGCAGAGUUCUUCACAUGCAUUAAUUACCUCAUUCAGACCUUUACAACUUUAUGUUCGUAGAUCUUAUUAUCCCCAUUUUAUGGAAGGAGAAGCUGAGGCUAAGGAGAGUUAAGUGACUUGCCCAAGCAGACACAGCUGGUAAGGUACAGAGCGGGGUGGGGGGCGCUAACCAUUAAUGACACAACAAACAAUUUAAGUGUGCAAGGAACUAUUUGCCUGGAUGUAUGUAAGGAUGAUUUCUGUAUCUCUUUGCCAUUAAACUUAAGACAGCUGCCUCCCACGCUGUCUUGUUAGCUGGCUCAAAAUAUAUUGAACUGAUUCAUAUAAUCUAUGCUUGCAUGUACGCAGAAUUAUCUAUCCUCAAGGAGCUUAAAUCAGCAAGCACACAGGGAACAUAAAUACCACUCUCUUCAUAUGAGUCUGGAACUACAAUUUUAGAAAGCUACAUUAAAAAUAAUUAGCUAUUACCUGGAUAUGGAGGAGACAGCCUUCUCUGUGCUCUGAGUAAAAAACAGUUCCUUCUAGGAUGAGAGAAAUAAGUUCACCUGAAGUGAACUACAACUAUAGGGUAAAUGUAAAUAAAACACACUAAAACAGGAAUAUGGUUGUGGAAAAUGGAUGACAGAGAAAAAAGCAUGAAAUAAAAGGUGCCUCCAUGAAGGCUGUAUAACGGGUCAAGGUGUAGAGCAUUUGCAGGCUUGGCCAAACCCUCACUUGGGAAAUAGAAUUAGGGCUAGAGUAUGAGGGCAAAGAGGAAUAUGUUACUGGAUUACUCCUGAGGCUCCACAAAGGCAAGCAACUGUACAAAAGGCCAACUGUACCUACUGGUGAGUGCAGGCCAUCCGGAUCCUCAAGAACUCAGAAUCCUAGGGGCUGAAAUCCAAGCAGCCAGAGAGGGAGGAGACCGCAGAUAAGCAGAUGCGCAUUCAUGCAAACAGAAUCAAAACACCCUGGUUUCUCUCAAGGGUCUAUUUCUCAAGAUAGAAGGGUUAGAUUCAUGGUAUAAUUUUAGGUCUAAAAAUAAUACCAAACAUGUUUUCACAAGAGAGCUGUUGGUGUCUGAUAGUUCUAAGCUGGGAAGUGCUAAUGGAUAUCCUUAUGAUGGGAAAAAUUUAGGCAAAAAUGAGUCAUCUCCGCUGCCUUUAGAUCCAGGAAGAACACUUUUUUUUUUUUUCAGGGACUCUGUAUAAGAACAGGUGGCACAAAUUCAAGUGGUAAUAAAUCAUCCAAGUGCUUCUUCUACUUCCAACCCUCACAUGUUUUACUGCCUCCCAUCUAAUUUAGAGAAAAGGAAGGAGAGAGGCAGGAGAAUCAUGUGAGAUGGCCAAUAGCUUCCUGUCUUGGCAAUAUGGCAGGCAAAACAAAUAAGCAGCAAAACUUGCCUGUCAGUCCUCUCUUUGACACACAACAGUCAAGUAAUCAGGCUCGCAGAUCUUUGUGAUACUAUAUGGCCCAUUAAUUCACUCCAUGACUAACUGAUUUAAUUGUUUCCACUAUUAGCAUUAACUUCAUUGAAAACUCUAAAACUCUGAUUGAAAAAACAAGUAUAUACAUAUACUUGUUUUUACUGAAGUACAGCGGAGUACAAUGUUAUAUCAGUUUCAGGUGUACAGCAUAGUGAUGUGUCAAUUCUACAUGUUAUAUUAGGCUUGCCAUGAUAAAUUCAGUUAUCUAUUAUCAUAUAAUAUUAGCACAAUAUUAUUUACUAUAUUCCCUAUGCUAUAUAUUUCAUCCCUGUGACUUAUUUUAUAACCAUAAGUUUGUACCUCUUAAUUCCCCCUUCGCCUUGUGCUCAACAGGUCCCCCCACCCCCAAAUCCUCUGGCAACCACGAGUUUGUUCUAUUUAUGAUUCUGUUUCUGUUCUGUUUGUUCAUUUGGUUUUUUUUUUUAAGAGUCCACAUAUAACUGAAAUCAUAUGGUAUUUUUCUCAGUCUGGCUUCUCUCACUUAAGCAUAAUGCCUUCUAUGUCCAUCCAUGUUGUCACAAAUAUAAAAUACUGAUGAAAGAAAUUGAAGAGGACACAAAUGGAAAAGAUAUACCAUGCUUAUGGAUUGGAAGUAUAAAUAUUAUUAAAAUAUCCAUACUGGCCAAAGCAAUCUACAGAUUCAAUGCAAUCUCUAUCAAGAUAUCAAUAGUAUUUUGGGGCACCUGGGUGGCUCAGUGGGUUAAGCCUCUGUUUUCAGCUCAGGUCACGGUCCCAGGGUCUUGGGAUUGAGCCCCACAUCAGGCUCUCUGCUCAGCAGGGAGCCUGCUUCCUCCUCUCUCUCUGCUUACUUGUGAUCUCUGUUUGUCAAAUAAAUAAAAUCUUAAAAAAAAAAAAAAAAGAUAUCAAUAGUAUUUUUUACAGAACUAGGAUAAUCCUAAAAUUUAUAAGGAACCACACAAGACCCUGCAUAGUCAAAGCAAUCUUGAGAAAAAAGAACAAAGGUGAAGGUAUCACACUCCCAGACUUUAAGAUAGACUACAAAACUGCAGUAAUACUGGCACAAAAUAGAUCAAUGUAACAAGAUAGAGAGCCCAGAAAUAAUCCACAUUUAUUUGGUCAAUUGAUCUGUGCCAAAAGGGGCAAGACUAUAUGGCAGAGAAAAGACGGUCUCUUCAGUAAAUGGUGUGGGGAAAACUGAAGAACUAUAUGCAAAAGAAUGAAAGUAGACCUCCUUCUUAUACCACACACACACACUAAAUCCCUGUCCUUUAGAUAACUUCACUGUGUACUGAGCUAGUAUGCUGCUUACCG